CUUGACAAGGGCAUGACUUCGGUGGCACAACUGAGAAUACCUGGCUGUGCUGUAAUAAGGGGUCCUGCAGGGCACCACAGGGAGCCCACAGGAAACUGAGCCAAUGCAGUGCUUGGACAGAUGGAAAGAGUCACUCACUCGUCUCUACAGAGGCUGACAGUCCUCAGCACAAAACUGAAUGCAUGACAUCUCUGACUUCUCUUACAUUCAUUGAUCAGUACAGUUCUGUAGUAGUGUUACAUCUGUAAUUUUCCUGGGACAUUCACAAGGAUGUAUUCCAUGGUCACAGACACACCUGAUACCCCAUAAAGAUAUUGGCUUUAUUCUCUC